AUUGAACGCUGGCGGCAGGCCUAACACAUGCAAGUCGAGCGGAUGAAGGUAGCUUGCUAUCUGAUUCAGCGGCGGACGGGUGAGUAAUGCCUAGGAAUCUGCCUGGUAGUGGGGGACAACGUUUCGAAAGGAACGCUAAUACCGCAUACGUCCUACGGGAGAAAGUGGGGGAUCUUCGGACCUCACGCUAUCAGAUGAGCCUAGGUACGAUUAGCUAGUUGGUGAGGUAAAGGCUCACCAAGGCGACGAUCGUUAACUGGUCUGAGAGGAUGAUCAGUCACACUGGAACUGAGACACGGUCCAGACUCCUACGGGAGGCAGCAGUGGGGAAUAUUGGACAAUGGGCGAGAGCCUGAUCCAGCCAUGCCGCGUGUGUGAAGAAGGUCUUCGGAUUGUAAAGCACUUUAAGUUGGGAGGAAGGGCAGUAAGUUAAUACCUUGCUGUUUUGACGUUACCAACAGAAUAAGCACCGGCUAACUUCGUGCCAGCAGCCGCCGCUGUAA
rnacentral:rRNA from 1 species